UAAUACAGAGGGUGCGAGCGUUAAUCGGAUUUACUGGGCGUAAAGGGCGCGUAGGCGGUUAAAUGAGUGUGAUGUGAAAGCCCAGGGCUUAACCUUGGAAGUGCAUCGCAAACGAUUUAACUGGAGUAUAUGAGAGGGUGGUGGAAUUUCCGGUGUAGCGGUGAAAUGCGUAGAGAUCGGAAGGAACGUCAAUGGCGAAGGCAGCCACCUGGCAUAAUACUGACGCUGAGGCGCGAAAGCGUGGGGAGCAAACAGG
rnacentral:rRNA from 1 species